rnacentral:lncRNA from 1 species
UUCACUUUGAACUCAACCUGUCUAUGAAUGAAUGACCAGAUAGAUUUGAUGCUUUCUUAACUUACCAUUUAUUCUUUCCCUGUGAUACCAACUCUUUGAGUAGAAAUUUAUGCAAACAAGGCGGCCAACUAGAAGCAGCUGCAUUUGGAGUUUCCUGUUGAAAAACAAACAAACAGAAAUCCAGGAUAAGCAGAUGAAUCCUCCACCAGCAAUCAAGGUAUCCAGGUUCUCUCAUCAAAAUUGGUUAGAAGGCUGGCAUGACACACAGAGAGAAGGAAGAGCAGUGUGGUGCAGCAGCACACCUGAGAGCCACACUGGGAAAAAGAACCUCCAGCCCCCAAGCCAAGGGAGGUGAUCUCCCAGUGGAAUGUGAACUAUAAGACAACCUAGAGGAGGGUUGUGCUGCUACACGGAAGAAACCUGGCACCCUGAGUCACUCUGUGAAAUGCUGCUUACUGAUCAGCAACACACGUGGAUAUCUUAUACAAGUAAGAGAGAAACUGUGUAGUGUUAAGAUGACUCAAAUGUAUAGAUUGCUAUUUUACAGCCACUGUUGCCCUAACUAAUCAAACAACUCUUCUAGUUCAACAGUGCUAGGAGCAAGGUGAGUCCUAAAUUGAGAAUAGGUGGAAUAAGCUAAAAUCGACAUAGUGAGCGCUCAAUUGAAACAUUUUUAAAAAGCAUGUCCUUGCUUUUGUGAAUAGUUCCACUAUGAAAAUAUGAGCACAAGUGUCGUUUUGGUAGAACAAUGUAUUUCCCUUUGGAUAUAUAUCUAGUAAUGAGAUUGCUGGGCUGAAUGUUAGUUCUGUUUUGAGAAAUCUCCAACUUGCUGUCUACAGUGGCUUUUGUCUUUUAAA